rnacentral:pre_miRNA from 1 species
UCUUUGGUUAUCUAGCUGUGUGACAGGUAGCUUCAUCUGGCUUCUUUUAUAUUCACAACGCUAGAUUUCCAAACAAA